rnacentral:rRNA from 1 species
GUAACAAGGUUUCCGUAGGUGAACUGCGGAAGGAUCAUUACCGAUUCUAAUACCUCAAUCACUGUGCACUCGGUCGCUGCGCGUGCAGCGCGCGUCUCUCCUUUCGGGGUUGGCCGUUCAGGUCAUUAAAUCGGGUGUCUGCCGGCUCUCGGGUCGUGUGGUCCCCGGGCCCCGACUGGAGAAAUGCGUGUGCAACGCAGCGGUUUUUCACCGCGCUCUCCCCUGGAGAGCGUCUCGUGAAAACCUUUUUUCAACCUUGCAACUUUGUAGACUGUACUGUCGGGCUUUCUUAACUGAAAGCUUGUCUUGAUUCUGAAUCAUGGACAACUUUCAACGGUGGAUCUCUUGGCUCGUGGAUCGAUGAAGAACGCAGCAAAACGCGAUAUGUAGUGUGAAUUGCAGAAUUCAGUGAAUCAUCGAAUCUUUGAACGCAAAUGGCGCUCCUGGGUAUUCCCAGGAGCAUGUCUGUCUCAGUGUCGUUUUCACCUCGAGCGCGCUUCGGCGCGGUGGUCAUGAGGCGUCUGGGAAGCCCUUCUGGUUGCUCCCAGUCCCUUGAAAUGCAGUGGCCGGACAGUUGCGUGCUUUUCGGGUCGGUUCGUCCCGGAUUCGCUCGCACGGCUGAUGGCGAGAUUCCUCGUAAUCUCCCUUGUCGUGUCGCAACGGCCGGUGGGAGCCUGUCUCGAGCUUGAGCCCCCUGUCCGAAACAAGCCAGCUCUGGAAAACGUCGCUUUCUCUUCACAGGGAAACACCUUCGACCCUGAGAUCAGGCAAGACUACCCGCUGAAUU